GAUUAUAUAAAAUUGAGUAAGAUAUUGCACCGUAAUCAGAUCAUUGAAACAUGCGUUCGUUUGCCCGAUAAGAACUACAUACUAAAAGUUCACGGAAAAUAAUGCACCACGGGGAUUUUCAGCUUCUUUGUUUAGUUAACCAUCAAUAUAAUAUAAAAGAAGCUUUCGCUUCUCCUACUUACAUCAGUUCUACGAUAUAUUACAAAUCUAAAGGAAUUACAGUUCUUCCGAAACGAAACUUCAAUCUAAUCAACAUGCAAUCCAGUACCGUCAUUUGUCUAGCUCUUGUGUGCUUCGCGGCAGCAUUCAUGUCUGCUGCAGCUGCUCAGAAUGAAGAGUCAGAAAACUUGGACCAAUACGAAGUGCAAGGUGGUCCGCUCGAUCUGGUAAAAUCGGAUGUUCCUCAAUUGCGCAAUCGUUGUAAAAACUUUGGCAAUUGCGUUCAUGACAGAGUAUGUGACAAUACCUGCAAACAGUUUGGAUACAAGGAUGGAGAAUGCAGUGGAAGAUCCUGUAUUUGCUGUUCCUAAUCUCUGAGCUGUUAAACUCAAGAAGCCAAACUGUUGUACCCGAAAUAUUAUCGUAAUAUUAUAAUAAAUAAAAAACAGUUAAAAAAUGUUUAGCUAAUUUAAAAAA